AUGUUUGUUGUACUGAUCAAACACCUGUUCAAGGACAAUCAGCAUAUCCCUCUGGUUCUCCAUCAAAAGCCGUCUGCAUUUCUCCAUAUCAGAGACUGUCUGCUGAUGUUCCUGUACAACUUCAUGAGAGGUUUCAAGGUGAGAGUAUCACUAGGUCCACAGUUAUAGAGGAACCUGGAGACCAUGGAGAAGCACACUUAGUAGCUCUGGGUGAACUAGAAUUCCGUAAACAAUUUCUAAUAUUAAGUUAUGCUGGAGGAGUUUUGAUUGGGAUUCUGGAAGCACACAGUGUCUUGGGUUGUUAUGUCAAUGUGGAUGGGAGUUACAGAUUCAAGAUGAGGAGACAAAUGGUUACUCGGCACAAUAUUUGUCAACUGGUUUUACUGAUAUGGGGAACACAGCUGAUGAAGGUAUUUACAGACAUUUCAUCUAUUUGCUUUUAUUCAUGGUGAGUGGUGAGUGCAUCUAUUUGUACUCCUCGAAUUGAUGGAAAGGAGUUCUUUCGUCAAGCCAGUGUUAUGAACCUCUUCGGUGUUCACAAGUAUAAGAAGAUGGGAGAAGACGUUCUUUGUAAUUCUGGUCUACCAUUUACAAUAAUCAGGGCUGGUAGAUUGACAGAUGGACCUUACACAUCAUAUGAUCUUAAUACAUUGCUCAAAGCUACAGCUGGCCAACGAUGUGCAGUCCUAAUAGGUCAAGGAAUAUUUUAUGGUCUAUGAAGGACGUAUGAGUUCAAGGGAGCUUGGGGAUUUGUCAAAACAAUGAGUCCUAUCAAGUAUCGGCUGCUGCAACAUCCAAGGUUUAUGAGUUAGCAAUUGAAUAUGGCUCAUCAAGGCAAAGAAGAUUUUCAAUCACCUCAAUAGCUCAGAGUAUGUAGGUCAUGAUACUUAGCCUACCGGGCGUUAGUAUUAUGUAUUUCAAUUUUUGAAUGUUUUUGUA